UCGCGAAUUUUUCACAAUGGGCGCAAGCCUGAUGAAGCCACGCCGCGUGCGGGAUGAAGGCCCUCUGGGUUGUAAACCGCUGUCGAGGGAGGGGAAACGCGUACGAUUAACAGUUGUGCGUUUGACUGCUCUCUGAAGGAAGCCCCGGCAAAACAUGUGCCAGCAGCCGCGGUAAUACAUGUGGGGCAAGCGUUGUUCGGAAUCACUGGGCAUAAAGGGUGCGUAGGCGGCAUGACAAGUCACGGGUGAAAGCCGGGGGCCCAACCUUCGGAUUGCCUGUGAUACUGUCGUGCUUGAGUGCGUGAGAGGUGGCCGGAACGAGUGGUGUAGCGGUGAAAUGCGUAGAUAUCACUCGGAACACCGAAGGCGAAGGCAGGCCACUGGCGCGCAACUGACGCUG
rnacentral:rRNA from 1 species